AGAGUUUGAUCCUGGCUCAGAAUCAACGCUGGCGGCGUGCCUAACACAUGCAAGUCGAACGAGAAAGUGGAGCAAUCCAUGAGUAAAGUGGCGCACGGGUGAGUAACACGUGACUAACCUACCCUUGAGUGGGGGAUAACCUAGGGAAACCUGGGCUAAUACCGCAUAAUACCUUCGGGUCAAAGGAGCAAUUCGCUUAAGGAGGGGGUCGCGGCCGAUUAGUUAGUUGGCGGGGUAAUGGCCCACCAAGACGAUGAUCUGUAUCCGGCCUGAGAGGGCGCACGGACACACUGGAACUGAAACACGGUCCAGACUCCUACGGGAGGCAGCAGUGGGGAAUUUUGCGCAAUGGGGGAAACCCUGACGCAGCAACGCCGCGUGGAGGAUGAAAUCCCUUGGGAUGUAAACUCCUUUCGAUCGGGAAGAUAAUGACGGUACCGAGAGAAGAAGCCCCGGCUAACUUCGUGCCAGCAGCCGCGGUAAUACGAGGGGGGCAAGCGUUGUUCGGAAUUAUUGGGCGUAAAGGGUGCGUAGGCGGUUUGAUAAGUCACAUGUGAAAUCUUCGGGCUCAACCCGAAGUCUGCAUGCGAAACUGUCGGGCUUGAGUAUGGGAGAGGUGAGUGGAAUUUCCGGUGUAGCGGUGAAAUGCGUAGAUAUCGGAAGGGAACACCUGUGGCGAAAGCGGCUCACUGGACCAUAACUGACGCUGAUGCACGAAAGCUAGGGGGAGCAAACAGGAUUAGAUACCCUGGUAGUCCUAGCCCUAAACGAUGAUUGCUUGAUGUGGUGGGUACCCAAUCCCGCCGUGUCGAAGCUAACGCGAUAAGCAAUCCGCCUGGGGAGUACGGUCGCAAGGCUGAAACUUAAAGGAAUGACGG
rnacentral:rRNA from 1 species